GUGGAUUAGAUACCCUGGUAGUCCUGGCCGUAAACGAUGCCAACUGGGCGUUGGGGCGGACAGCCUCAGCGCCGGAGCGAACGCGGUAAGUUGGCCGCCUGGGGAGUACGACCGCAAGGUUAAAACUCAAAGGAAUUGACGGGGGCCCGCACAAGCAGCGGAGCGUGUGGUUUAAUUCGAGGCAACGCGAAGAACCUUACCUGGGCUUGACAUGGGCAUGGUAGUGAAGCGAAAGCGGAACGACCCGCAAGGGAGUGUCCACAGGUGCUGCACGGCCGUCGUCAGCU
rnacentral:rRNA from 1 species